rnacentral:lncRNA from 10 species
ACAUGGAGCAGCCCCUCCACAACCCCACUGCCUCUGUCUUGGGGCACCCCUUGGUUUCUACAUAAGGGGCCCUCACCCAUCUCACAGUUCCAGUCUCUUCGCACAUCCUUCUCCACCCAGCUGAGGUCUUUGAACAGAGGUGGCAGUUUGGGGACUAGGAUUUGGUGAGACUCAAUCCAGGUAAACAGUACCUUAAGAAGGCUUACGAAUGGACGCUUGGGACCUGUGUUGAUCCUGGUUCUCUCACAAAUUAGCAAGUUACUUAACUUCUCUGUGCCUCUGUUUUGUCAUCUGUGUGUUGGGUACAGUAUCUGUACCAAUCUUAGAGGGUUAUUAUAAAGAGUAAAUGAGGUAGUAUACAUCAAGCACUCAAAAUGUGAGCUGUUAUUAAAAUAUAUCUCGCAUCUGUCCACUUCUCUCUAUCUAUGCUGCCACCACCUCAUCUGAGCCACUGUCACUGGUCCCCUGGGCCAUAUCCCAGACUCUUUGUAGUGUCCUGGCCCUCCUCUGACCUUGCACUGCUCUCCAUUCUCCCAUUCUCCACGCAACAGCCAGGAUGAGACUGCCAGAUGAAAUACAGGACACCCGGUUAAAUGUGAAUUUUGGAUCAACAGUGAAUAUUUUUCAGCAUAGGUAUGUCCCAUGCAAUAUUCAUUAUAUACUUAUGCUAAAAAGUUAUUUAUUUGAAACUCAAAUUUACCUGGGCACCUUGUAUUUUUAUUUGCUAAAUCUUGCAGCCUUAAGCCAGGGAGAAAGCAGAUCGUUUUGCUCCUAGCUUCAAACCUGCAUUGAGUUCUUGGCACAGUUAGGACAGAAUCUGUACCCUGUCCCGACAUGCAGGGCUUAACCUGGCCCAGCCUCUGUGGGCCAUUUUUUUUCCUGUGACUAUUAUUAACAAUUUAGCAGCAUCAGUGGCCAGGCAUUGCCUUGUCAGGUCACACACUGUGCCUGCUCCCCACCAGGGGACUGAUCAAAGAAUAAGAAAAUGAAGCCAGCAAGGACCACAGGGCAGGAGACCGUGGGGCUUUGUGAGGUGCGUCCCAUCCUGGUGUGGAACCCAGACCAGCUUUCCGCUUGCAUGGGAAACUGUAGCAGCUGGACCACCAGCCUGGAGCGAGUGGCAAGGGGGUUGGUCCAGACUCCAUCCUGUGCGGCAGCCAACUGCCCAGAUCUACUUCGACCAGCCCUGUGACCUUGGACAUGACCUUUACCUCUCUGUGCCUCAGUUUCCUCAUCUACAAACUGGGGAUGCUGGCGGUGUCUAACUAGCCUCAGGGCUGUUGUGAGAUAACCAAGUUCGCACCUGGACAUCAGCUGCGGCAGCACCUAGCAGGGAGCAACCGAACCCCAGCCUUUUCAAUUCAUUCUUCAAGGCCAGGCAGGACUGCAGGCGUGGGCCAGGGAGAGGGCGCAAACAGAGCUUGCUCAGCUGAAGGUGGUUCUACUGGAAAUCCAGCUGCCCCAGUUGUGGCCCCCAUGGCCUCAGGGUGGAGCAGCACAUUGAGACGGAGAAGGUGGUCGAGGGCCCAGCCGACAGUUUCCUUCCUCCCCUCGCCUCCCUGGGAGCCUGCAGCCUUCAGCCGUCCCUCCCCGAUCUGUGUUCCUGGCUUGCCUGCUCCGGGUGGAUAUCCUUACAUCAGGGGCAGGGGGCUGGCGGGGAAUUCAAUCGGUCUCUGCUUGGGUCCCUUGACCUUCUCCCAACAGGCUGAGCUUCUCUUCCUGGGGAGCCUAGAAUCCCCUGGCGACUCCUUCCCUUUCUCUUAAAUUGUGGCCACAGCAUGGCGCCCAGUCCAUGGUCAGAAUGCAGAGUCCCAGGCUAGGGACUGAGCUUCUCACCAAGCCAGAUGCACCCCCCACCAGGAAGCACUGCCCCCGCCACUGGAUUGACCUCGUGUGCCAGGUGAGCCAAGGACGAGGGUUUUGGGCCUGGCUCUGGGUGCCUCUAAACAGACCCGCUUCCCAGACCCCGGGCUCUCUUUCCUCUCUCCUGUCACUGUGCAGGUAACUGGGCUCCCUGAUGCUGUGGUGUUUCUGAAAUACUUCGAUGUAGUCAAAAAUCUUCAUUGAGUCCCUACUGUGUGCCAGGCUCUGAACUCAGUGCUGAGGACAUGAAAUGGGCAGAAGGGGCCUGCUCCCACAGCGUCCUGGGCUGGGACAGACACAUUAGGAGUUAAGGACACUUACUAGAGUGAGUAUGUGCUGAAGGCCAUAAGCAGGUGGAGAUGAAAGGGAGGAGCAGGGGUGGGCGCCAUUGUAGAGAGGGGCUGUUUGGGACCCACUUGGAAAGAAGGGCCGGGGCCCCUGAGGAGGUGGCAUUUGGAGGAGGAACAAGAAUGAGCUCAGCAGAGGCAGCGAAGCUGUUUCCAAGGGCCAGCCAGUGCAAGGCUCCCAAAGUGAGCAGAGGGUGAUGCAUUUGGAGAAGUAACAGGAGGUCACUGAGGCAGGACACAGGGCAGGGGAGGUGACAAGGGGCCUUCCAGGCCAAGGACAAAAGAAGCCCCCUGAAGGGUGGGAAACGCAAUGCACAUCCUUGCAGUGGGUUAAGCCGUGUCCUUCCAAACAGACGUCCAAGUCCCAACCUCCAGCACCUGUGAUUGUGACCUUACCUGAAAAUAGGGUCUUUGCAGAUGGAAUUAAAUCAAGGAUCUCAAGAGGAGAUCAUCCUGACCUUCAGGGUGGGCUCUGAGUCCAAUGGCAAGUGUCCUUGUAAGAGACAAAAGAGGAGAGACACACAGAGAAGGGAGGCCUCGUGACG